AGUCGAGCGGACAGAAGGGAGCUUGCUCCCGGAUGUUAGCGGCGGACGGGUGAGUAACACGUGGGUAACCUGCCUGUAAGACUGGGAUAACUCCGGGAAACCGGAGCUAAUACCGGAUAGUUCCUUGAACCGCAUGGUUCAAGGAUGAAAGACGGUUUCGGCUGUCACUUACAGAUGGACCCGCGGCGCAUUAGCUAGUUGGUGGGGUAAUGGCUCACCAAGGCGACGAUGCGUAGCCGACCUGAGAGGGUGAUCGGCCACACUGGGACUGAGACACGGCCCAGACUCCUACGGGAGGCAGCAGUAGGGAAUCUUCCGCAAUGGACGAAAGUCUGACGGAGCAACGCCGCGUGAGUGAUGAAGGUUUUCGGAUCGUAAAGCUCUGUUGUUAGGGAAGAACAAGUGCGAGAGUAACUGCUCGCACCUUGACGGUACCUAACCAGAAAGCCACGGCUAACUACGUGCCAGCAGCCGCGGUAAUACGUAGGUGGCAAGCGUUGUCCGGAAUUAUUGGGCGUAAAGGGCUCGCAGGCGGUUUCUUAAGUCUGAUGUGAAAGCCCCCGGCUCAACCGGGGAGGGUCAUUGGAAACUGGGAAACUUGAGUGCAGAAGAGGAGAGUGGAAUUCCACGUGUAGCGGUGAAAUGCGUAGAGAUGUGGAGGAACACCAGUGGCGAAGGCGACUCUCUGGUCUGUAACUGACGCUGAGGAGCGAAAGCGUGGGGAGCGAACAGGAUUAGAUACCCUGGUAGUCCACGCCGUAAACGAUGAGUGCUAAGUGUUAGGGGGUUUCCGCCCCUUAGUGCUGCAGCUAACGCAUUAAGCACUCC
rnacentral:rRNA from 1 species